AUGCAUCAGCCGUGCGCCAAUGGCGCGCAGCAGCGCCAUGUUAACGGUGAGGCCACCAACGGCGAAGUGCCCUCACGCACCAUGGCACAGACUGACCAGGAGAUAGUGCGACUCAUUGGACAGCAUCUUAUAUCCAUUGGACUAGAGCGCAGUGCUGCCCUGCUCAUGGAGGAGUCAGGCCUCCACUUGGAGCACCCCGCAGCGGCCACGUUUCGCCAACAUGUGCUCGCCGGAGACUGGGUGAAAGCUGACCACGACCUGCGCGCCUUGCACGAAUUGCUCAGGGACUCGCCGCUCGUCGAUCCUCAUAGCCUCACAGAAAUGAAGUUCCUAGUCCUGGAACAGAAGUACCUAGAACACCUGGAGGCGGGGCGGCUGCUGGACGCGCUGCACUCGCUGCGCAACGAGCUGACGCCGCUGCAGCACGACACGGCGCGCGUGCACCGGCUGUCGGCGCUCAUGAUGUGCGCGUCCGCCGGGGAGCUGCGCGCGCGGGCUCGCUGGGCCGGCACGGGCCUGGCGUCGCGGCAGGCGGUGCUGGCCAGGGUCCAGGCGCAGCUGCCCCCCGCGCUGAUGAUGGCGCCGGGCCGGCUCCGCGCGCUGCUGGCGCAGGCGGCGCAGCACCAGACGCAGCGGUGCCGCUUCCACUGCGCGCCGCGCCCGCCCGCCGACCCCGAGCGCAUCCCCUUCACGCUGCUGGCCGACCACCACUGCUCGCCCGACGCCUUCCCCAUACACUCCCUGCAGGUACUGAACGAGCACUGCGACGAGGUAUGGUACUGCAAAUGGUCCCCGGACGGCCUAAAGCUGGCGACCGGCUCCAAGGACAACACGGUCAUCAUAUGGGACUUCGACCCCGAGGCUAAACGACUCUCCUUUAGGAAGUCCCUAGAGGGCCACACUUACGGCGUGUCGUUCCUGGCGUGGAGCCCCGACGGGCGGUACCUGAUCGCCGCGGGCCCCGAGGACUGCCCCGACCUGUGGAUAUGGAACAUGGAGACGGAGCUGCUGCACCUGAAGAUGACGCACUCGCAGGAGGACUCGCUGACGGCGGCGGCGUGGCACCGCGCCGGCGACAAGUUCGUGUGCGGCGGCGCCCGCGGACAGUUCUACCACUGCGCCCUCGACGGCACACUGCUGAGCAGCUGGGACGGGGUCCGCGUCAACGCGCUGUGCUGCCGCGAGGACGCGCGCUCCGUGCUGGCCGCCGACACGCACCACCGCGUGCGCCUCUACGACUUCACCGACCUCACCGACCGCAACCUAAUACAAGAGGAGCACGCUGUGAUGGCGAUGACUGUGAACGCAGCGGACAGCCUGCUGCUGCUGAACGUGGCCAACCAGGGCGUGCACCUCUGGGACAUACGAGCCCGAGCUCUGGUCCGACGUUUCCGUGGGUUGAGUCAGGGCCACUUCACCAUCCACGCGUGCUUCGGCGGUGCUCAUCAGGACUUCAUUGCUUCUGGCUCAGAAGAUAACAAGGUUUACAUCUGGCACAUGAACGGCGAGGAGCCGGUGGCGGUGGUGUCGGGGCACACGCGGUGCGUCAACGCGGUGUCGUGGAACCCGGUGCACCACGACGUGCUGGUCUCCGUCUCCGACGACUACUCGCUGCGGCUCUGGGGCCCGCGCUCGCAUCGCUGCUAGUACCCUCCGUACGUACACACGCGCGGCGCCGUGCCCCCCGCCCCCGCCUCCUCGACUACUCGCUGCGGCUCUGGGGCCCGCGCUCGCAUCGCUGCUAGUACCCUCCGUACGUACACACGCGCGGCGCCGUGCCCCCCCGCCCCCGCCUCCUCGACUACUCGCUGCGGCUCUGGGGCCCGCGCUCGCAUCGCUGCUAGUACCCUCCAUGUCCCCGAGCGCCGCCCGCGACCGCCACGAAGCCGCGGACCAUAGAGUAUCUUAUUUAAGUCUCGACUAACUUAAAUUAAGACUUCUAAUAUUACGGACAGAGUUUAAAGAUAUUUUGUAAAGAUGACCGCUUGUGUCUUAUCUUAUCGAGCGCUGAAUCUCGGUGAGUUGUUUGUACUUUCGAGUCGACCGAGGGUCCGGCCCGCGACCCCCGCCGCUCGUGGAACCUCAUUGUAACUGUUCAGAACGACUGUUCAAUAUUUCAUUAAAUCGGAGCUAGUUUAGUUUUAUUAAAAUAUUGUUUGUUUGGCUCAUGACAGUUGUUACUGUGAAUGUCCUCAUGUGCUGUAUCUUUCAAAAGCGCGGGAAGGGAAAUAAAAUUGCCUUUAAUGACAGCGAAUUGUGUAUCUUCGUGUGUUUGAAAGUAACUAUCGCGUUAAACAUUCGGUGAAAUAAAAUGUAACGUCAAAAUUAUAAAUAGCGACUACGCGACGUGUGCUCAUCGCAUUUUAUGGAAUGUAUUUCACGUGUUUGUACACGUCCUACUAAACUUUUUGGACUCGAGAUGAAAAUAGUCUCAUGUAAUAAAAUAGUUUCAAUAAGUAAAAAUUUUAUAGGGAAGAGCAUAAAACGGUCCCAGACUGUUCUGGACUCGCCCCCCAAGGUCCGUCGUCUGCUGUUGUUCCGUCAGGGCGCGGACCAGAGUGGUGACGUCAGUGCCAGCUUAACUGUGCACGUACUGAAUAUGUCGUCUACCCUCACACUCACUCGGGAUGACCUCCCAGUGGAUCCGGGGCCCCACUCCGACGGUCAGGAGAGGCAGGCACAGCCCAUGCGUUCUGUGGGGGACGGUACUAGUGCGAGACUGCAGGCCGUCCCCUCACCCACGUGAUUCGCUCGGAUGUCGUGAGAAUGUACGCGGACGCUGCAGUGCGACUGCUGGAUGAGUCCGGCGCAGAGUAUCAAACCGCAUGUUGCUGCGGGCCACAGUGUGCCGCCCUGUCGACGGACUGACGUUUGCAUUCAAUUCUAUUUUAUAGACUCAUUUUGAUCUGUUUGAAAUAGUAUGAUUGUAGGGAUGAGCCAACUGCGGAUUGUUGGUUCACCGAGGUCGUCGAAGUUAAAUCACGUACGCAAUUUUUUUCGAAAACUACUAGAACUGCAAUGAAAUCUGCGCCGUUGACCGAUGAAAUUAUGUUUUUAAUUUUUAGGCAUUUUUGUAUAUUAUUUUUAAAUUUUUAGAUUGUAAUCUUAGUUUUUGUAAGUCACGUCUGACGCGCAUCUCUGGGGCACGAUAAAGCUUCGUGUUAGCUGCAGUCCACGGGCGCGACACAGAGGCUGCACACUACUCUGAGUGCGUCGAGGAUCACGACUCUGGCUCGUCCCGCCGAUCGAGCAACACUUCAUUGUUAAGAGGGAGGGAUGUGCGUGAGUAGGGAGUACAAAGGAGUUGUGUUUAUUGUACGAAUUAAAUAUAGAUUAGAAGAACGGCAAGAACGAAGUCAACUUUGGCUAAGUUUGAUUUGUUCUGAAUUAUAAAUAUUGAUAUCAAUAAAUUUUUUAUUGUAAACA
rnacentral:misc_RNA from 1 species